GCCUCCCUCCACAAGGACACUGUGAUCACAUUCAGGACCCAGCGCGUAAUCCAGGAUAACCUCAUCUCCAGAUGCUUAACGUCAUCACAUCCGCAAAGUCCUUUUUGCCAUGUAAGGAAACACUCACAUUCUGGAAAACCUCAUGUCUGGAAAUGGGGGAAGUAAAUCUCUGGGGUCGUUGUGAGGUUCCAGCGAAUCACAAAUGAGACAUUUAGAGGGAGCGGCACAGCCCGCCGUCCAUGUGAGGAAAGACGGCCAGCCCUGGAGUGGACUCAGCGACCCCAGGAGGGACCCAGCGACCACAUUUCUGCUCUCACGCUGCCCCCGGCUUCCUGACCCUGGGCCUUCAUCAGGAACCCCGCCCGGAUGAAGGCCUCUCGCGGCCCCAAGUCUGCGGCUUAUCACUGCUCUCUGGGAUUCAGAGAAAGGCCAGUCUACUGGGUCAGCCUGAGGGUCUCACUAGCCUCACGACAACCGUCAUCCCUCUGAAGAUGGGGAAACGGAGGCAAUCCAAAGGCCAAGCACCAUGCCCAUGACAGAGGACGGUGAGGACUACGGCCCCGGUCUUCUGAUUUCUCGUCCUGGCCUCCCUCCAUCACACCCCAUGGUCCCUGGGUGGGUCCCCUGAGGGGCUGUUUCCCAGUGAACUGAGCCACCAGAACCAGCUGGAACCUGGCCUUGGCCAUGGCCACACUGCCAUCCAACAAGCCCAGGGGCUGUCCCAACAAGACCCGGAUCGACGAGGAGACAGCUGUGCAGAGGGACUGGCUGUCCAGACAGGCCUGCUAGCACGUCCAGGGCACGGAGGGGCAGCUGGGCCCGGCUUUCUUCCUUCGGUGGCGGCACCUCAGGCACCUGAGUUCCUAAUCCGGCCGUUAGAGCCGGAUUUCAGCUCCCAGUAAAAGUUCGUCUGAGUUAUAGACCUUUGAAGAUACGGUUCUUAAUGAAAACGCCGAGAGAAGCCAAUUAGAGUGGCAUGAAUGGUAAUGACUGUAAUAAGGUUAAUUGAGUUGGAUGUAUUACAGCUGACGACGGGCUUUUUUUUUUUUCCUUAAGCAGAAAAAGAAAAUAAUUUACUGAUAUUAAAACUGAUUUACUGAUAUAAAAAGUCUUCCUUCAGACCCUUGGGAAACAGCUCGGUUUCUGGAACUUCCUCUCAAAUGUGAGGCUGGCAGGAAACAAGAAGAUGAAGCCACCUCCAGCGAGCUAGAGCUCUUCCUGCCAGACGCAAAAUCAAAAUCAAAGGAGCAAGAAGAGUCUGGGAGGCAGCGAGGGAGAGCGGAAAGGACGGGACCUGGGAGGCAGAUGCUGUCAUUUCCUAACUGUGUGACUUAGACAAGUUCCUCAGCCUCUCUGAGCCUUAGUUUCUUCAUCUGUAGAACAGAGGACUCCCCAAAUUGAGUAAGCUUCAGGCCUCACAAAACCCAGACCCGCCCCGUCUCCCGUGUGUGCAGCGUUCCGGAAGCUUUGCCUGGAGAGGGUUCCACUGAGAGGGAUCUCAACUGGAUUUGCCUGCCCCCUGCUACAGCUCAGCCACCAAGGCGCAGAACCAGGCCAGCUCUGACACCUCUGUUUUUUCCUCUCUCUCUCUCUCCUCUCCCUACAAACAGAGGGCUUGGGUGAAAAGGAGGGAGCCAAGGCACAACCAGCCCACAGAUGUUGUCCCCAUGGCCCAUCACCUUUACCUCCCCCAUGACCCCACGGAAGUCCCUGCUCUCUGGCAUCAUCUUCCCCUAGGAAGCUUUUUGUCUGCAUAUUUAUUUAUUUGUUUAUUUUCUUAAGGUAUGCUUUUUGGUGAGGAAGGUUGGCCUUGGGCUAACAUCUGUUGCCAAUCUUCCUCCUUUUUUUUUCCCACUCCAAAGCCCCAGUACACAGCUAUAUAUCCUAGCUGUAAGUCAUUCUAGUUCUAUGUGGAAUGCCACCUCAGCAUGGCCUGAUGAGCGGUGCCAUGUCUGCGCCCAGGAUCUGAACCGGCGAAACCCUGGGCUACCAAAGCAGAGCAUGCGAAUUUAACCACUUGGCCCCGGGCUGGCCCCUGCAUGUUUAUUUAUUUGUCUUUUUCUGACACAAAAGGGGUGCUUGUAUCAUGGGGCCCUUCCUUACAGUUUAAACAGAAAGGUAUUUGUUACCGGGGACUGGCCAGCCACCCCUGCUUCUGGAUGGCCCCAAACCCGGCUCCGAUGGGUCUAGCCUCACUGUUGGCGAGGGCCGGGGUGCGGCUCAGCCUCCCCUUGAUGGGACUUCCUUGCCCCAGUGCCUUCGAGGCUGUGCCCACGCGGGCGGCAGCGCUCCAGGACCCCGCUCCGGCAGGUGCCAGCAUCAGCCGGUCAUGCAGAGCCACCCUUAACCCAGGCUCAGACGGCUCCUUCUUCUCAGACGUCAACACCAGCCCACUGGUGAUGUGGGGUGAACUCCCCCAAAAUGGUAUUUUGAAGUCCUAACCCCCAGUACAUCAGAAUGUGACCUCGUUCAGAAAUAAGGUCAUUACUGAUGUCGUUAGUUAAGAUGAGGUUAUACUGGAGCAGGGUGGCCCUACUCCAAUCUGACUGGUGUCCUUAGAAGAAGAGGAGAGAGACGCAGACACACAAGGGGCGAACAUCAUGCGACAACAGAGGCAGAGAGUGGAGCGAAGCAUCUACAAGCCGAGGAUUGCCGAGGACUGCCAACCAGCCAGACGCUGGCGGAGGCAAGGAAGACUCUCCCCCGGUCUCGGAGGGAGCAUGGCUCUGCUGACACAUGGAUUUAAGACUUCUGGCCUCCAGAGCUGCGAGACAAUACAUUUCUGCUGUUUGGAGUCACCCAAUUUGUGGUGCUUUGUUACAGCUGCCCUAGGAAACUAACACAACCGGCCACAGGGAUUCCCCGGUAGGACAUGGGGCCGGCCUGGGGAGAGGCGGUGAUGCGGCCGGAGCUGGGGCGGUGGGAGGAUGAGCCACCUGCUCAGUCAGGCUACCUGUGCCUUCAGGACCUUCUCAAGCCCAGUCGCGUACACGCCACCUCCCUGAUGAUUAACUGCUGCUGGGCACACCCAGCCUAUGGCUGGACGGCUCAGGCCACACUCAGCUCGAGAUGCCGAGCUCAGGUUCACAGUUACUUGGUGUCUCCUGUGGCUAGCAUUCAGCCUGGGAGCUGUUUCUCAAAUGGAGCACAGUUACUUGCUGAUGAGAGCGUUGCUUUGCUCUGCAUACUGGGCAUCUGUGCUGUGUUUCCUUCCUUGGGGCUGGCCUGGGGCCCUCUGUCACCUCUGGGCUGGCAUAGACACCUGGAGCACCCCUGGCUCUGCUGGGCCGUCAGGGCCUGUCGGCAGAGCUCCCUGCACUGAGGCCUGAAUCAGCCUUUUGCUCUGUCCACAAAACCGAGGGCCUCUGGGUGUGGCGAUUCAGUAAUGGGACAGAGCAGCCCACCGAAAUGUCAUGUCUGGUUGCCACCAAAAUCCACAGGGACUCGCCAUGCUUGGUGCCUCUUUCUCAGUGUGGGGGUGCAAAGUUCCUUUUGGAGGGGAUACGCCAACCAGUCCCAGGAGCUUCACUCAGGCAGGAGGGGUCUACCGUAACGUCAGGCACGCAUUUUGGACUCACCAGAGAAGGUAGGAUUCUUUGGAAAAGACAACAAUACUGGGAAAAGUAGAAGGCGGCAGGAGAAGAGGAAGACCAAAUGCGAGAUGGCAUGACUCCAUAAAGGAGGGCGUGGGCCUGAGUCUACGGGAGCUGAGUGGGGCUGCCAAGGACAGGACACGGUGGACGUCACUGACUUGCAAGGUUGCCAGGAGUCAGAGCUGAGUUGACAGCACAUAACAACAACUGGUACACACGUGUCUUCCUAAACCAUCUAGAUGAUUCCUGACACUGCCUGCUCUCCAGGUCCCAUCAGUGUGGUGUCAUCAAUGUCACGGUCUAGCCUCUGAUCUUCUGGAACAAUGAGACCUUCAAGUGCCUGUGGACUAAAUUAUGACAAGGAGCCAGAGAGCAGCCCUGACAGGUAACAGACCACCUCUGGUGCUCUCUGCGCGUUAGGAUGGAGAAGGGCCUUCCCAGAUCCAUCACUGCCCACAGGCGCUGCAGCUGGAGACGUUCGCUGCAGAAAAGACCACAGUGAGAAGAGCUCGCUGAUGCUGUUAACAUGUCUUGAGCCUGUCAUGUCCUUUCCUCAAACUCUCUGCCUAAUUAGGGGCAGCCGGCCCCCACGGCUCACACCCUUCAAAAUGGUUUGCCCCAGCAGCCCCUUGGCGGCCAGCCCUGGGCUCACGGGCCCUCGCCUCAGGUGAGCACAGGCUGUCACCUGAGGGGUUGCUUCUCCUCCGUGGGCCUCCGUCUCCUAGUGCCAGGCGGCCCGUGCUGCCUGUGACCCGAACAGUGAGGACACCCAGUCCCAGAUCCCUCCCUUCCUGAGGCUCUAUCGCCUGCAGCUAUUUCUGCUGCAGAAAGUACUGUCUUGGUGACUGCAGACAGGCCGAGCCCCUGUAGCGAGCGUGCGAGGUUUCCAGUUUCUCAGAGAGCAGAGCCGGGCUCGAUGCCCCCAACCGGGAGUAGUGCAAUGGGGAGACACUCGGGGGUGCAGAGGAAACCCUCCACGGCCCUGCUAGUCACCCCCAUUUGCAGUGUAGGCACGGGGUCUAGCACCAGCCUGCGGCUGUCCCAUGUGACGAACCCCCGAGGCCCCAGACCCAUGGCCCAGCCCGCGGCCGCCCCUUGUGUUCCUCCUUCUGCCUUUCCAGCCUCUGUCAGUGGGGAGCUGAGCUGCAGCUGAAGACGGAGCGACACAGAAGGCGCCCUGUGCCUCGAGGCAGGCGAGACGGCUGUGGAAGGUUCGAGGGCACCAGCCGUUCUAGUUGGGGAUGAUGGAGAAGGAGAAUUUGAAGCGGACGUUGGGAGCUGAUGUUAGACAUGUGGUAGUGGAGGGAAGCAGAGGACUUCCAGACAGAGGGCGCAGCCCCACAAAGGCCUGGAAAGGACGUUGGGGGUGUGCACUGGUGAGGGCUGGGCGCUUGGGGUCUCUCCGUGGCAGGGAGCACCCAGGGACCCCAGCCUGCCCAGAGCCCGGGCCUCCUCACCCUUCUGUCUGCUGCAGUCCUCAUGCCCUUCUCCUGGGACUGGUCACGAUCUCCUCCAUCAUGGGCCUUUCAACCAUGCUGAGCGUGAGGACUCAAGAAAUGUGUCACCAGCCUUGGAGCACAUGGCACGUGUCAGAGAGUGUGAAUUCCCUUCCAGGCCCGGGGCCCUCAUCCCCUGCUGCUGCUUCUCCAGGCUCGCCAUUCCUGGUCCCGCUCCCACGUGUUCCCUGUGCUCCUCUCACGGCACCAGGGGCCUCUACUCAGACAAGGAGCCACUUGCCUCCUCCUAGCUGCCUGGGGCGCUCUAUCCCCCCAAUUUUCUCAUUUAAUCCUCAAAGUAGCUCUAUGUCCAUUGUACAGAUGCAGAAACUGAGACUGGAGUAUCUACUCCAGGGUGGAGGCUGGACUCGCAUGCAGGCGGCAUAGCCCCAUGACCUCCAUUCAAACUACUGCAUCGGAACUUUUCUUUCCGCGUGCAGGUGAAACCUCCAAUUACAGAAGCUCUUGCUUUCUGGUCCCUCCCGGCUUUACGCCACUGACAGCUGCGGACCUUCCUGGUUCCUGCCGUGCCCCACCCAGCCCGGGCCUCACUGCUGCGCGAGCCCUGGAAAGCGUGCUCCCCCCGCCCCCCGAGAAGCUCUGUGCGUGGGCGCAGAAACCCGGCAGGGCUGGUCGAGUGGCUUCGCGCCGUGUCUCCAAGAUCAGUUAGAUGCAAAGCCCUGAUGUGCCACCUGGAGGGGGCCGGGCAUUUCUUAGCUGCUGGCCUGAAGUCGGCUCAGCCUUUCGUUCAUCUCAUGUUCUCUCCAGUCCUAGGAGACGCAGAAGGCAGGGACGCUAUCCCGACUUACACAGGGGAACCCCAGCCCAGAGAGCCCUGGGUCUUCACCAAAUCACACAGCUGGUACGAGCCCAGGGCCCCGGGCUGCCGUCCCCAGUCAGCUGGCACCUGCGGCAGGUUUAGGUACCAGGGAGCCUGUCUCCCUGGACGUGGUUCUGGCCUGGGCCUUGCAUUGGAAUCCCUUGGGGAACAGAUUCUCGACCCACUAAAUCAGGAUCUCCCGGGUGGGGCCCCUGCAUUGUUGUUGCUCCUUCAAGCUCCCAGGUGAUGCCAACGUGUGGCCACGGAGAUGGGCAGGGCCAUGCCCACGCAAGGAGAGAGGUUUUACCCCGAAUCACCCACUCGUGAUGAUUUAAGAACAAGUCGUGUGUGCGGAGGACGUCUCGGAAAGGACCAGGGAUGAUCGGGGCCGGGACCACUUUGCAACCCUGAGUUCCCCUGGGGACACCCGGCUCCGUCUAACCAGCUCACAAGCAGCCAAGCAAGAUGAGACUCAUAAGUACUCCGGGCUUUGAUGGAGACAAAAGAACCGGCCUAUUUACAUGAGAAACAACCAAGAAAGAAACAGGAGAAGAGAAGCGUCCGGACUGGGCCUGCUAAGUCUGCUUUUGCUCCCACGUCGGCCUGGGGAGACAUCACUUCUGGAGCGCCUCUCCUUUCAGAGUUCUGUUGCUGCAUUUCAGCAGGAAUGUUCUGGAUGUAGGUUUUCUGUCGUCCUUGCUCUGAUCUGUGUGCUAAGACCUGCACCGGGGCCUCCUUCACACACAGUGGACCAAUGGCAAGCCCUGAGAUGGUCAUUGGGUCCGUGCCGUCUGCCCAGGCCUUCGCCGGGGUGGUUGGGUUCAGGCUCUUUGUCACCAAUGGCCUCUCUUCCUGGGACCCACACAGUGAGAGCCCCCGAGGUGUGCCCUGCAGGCACCAGGCCGCUGCCAUUUUUGUGAAGGAAACCCGUGGCCUAGUUGGUGUUUGCCCGUUAUCCAGAGCCACCCCAAGCUGCCUCACUCUGCUGGGUCACUCCCUGAAUCCUCGGCGACCCCCACCCUCCUCCCCCCUGGGAAGGAAAAGCCCCUGCCCGGCCCAGCCGCCGGAUUGGUGUUGAGGUCCUGGGCCUGGACCUCUUGAGUCCUCUCAAAGACAGCCCAGAACCCGCAUCCCCUCUGCGGAGCCCCUGGGAGCACAGCCUGUGGGGACGUGACCCCCAGGGGCAGCGAGGCUGGAGCAGCUCUGGCCUUGCAUAGGCUUCCUCUGGCAGCCGGGGACACAGCUGCUGGGCCUCCUGACUCAGUCCCUGGGCCGCCUCCCUCUUGAACUUCUGUCCCUAAGGGCUCGGUUCACAGCUGUUCAGAGGGUGACCUUGAACAUCCCUUGGCGAUCUGGGCAUCUCCACUUAUUGCUCAUAAACUCAGCUGACCUCCUUAUGGCGGACUGUGGGAAGUCUCAGUUUCUGCUCUCGAGAAACGGAAACGACACCCCCUAGGUAACGGGGAACAAUGAAAUUGGGGGUGUGAAAGCAUCUUCCAAAGGUUGGAAUGGUGUUGGGGACCACGAGGAAGGCAUCAGACUCUUUUCUACAAAAACCUUUCCCAGCGAGGCAAAGGCCAGAACUUGGGCCAACGCAGCAUUUUGUGCGACAUGAGCCGCCUGUAUCACCUCUGACUCUGGAUUUUGGCCCAAGACAGACCUGGGUUCAACUCCUGAAUUCCAGUUCAGUCGUGUGACUUUAGAAAGUCACUCAGCCCCUCUGAGCCUUAAUCUCCUUGUCAGUAGACUUGCAACAAUAAUCUCUUUGUUGAGAGUGUUGUUGUCAAGGGUAAAUAAGACAGUGCGUAUACAGCACACCCCAAAACUAAACUGGAGAACCCACACGCACAUGGGCUCCAGCCCCGUAAGUGGCCUUGGGGGCCGCGUUGGGCCCAGGCCGCUACCUUUUCUGAUUUGUGCUGGAUCUGACCUUAGAGCCACCUGUAGCCAUCAGUCAAUUCUGUAGAAUAUCCGCAGGCCCAGCAAUCUCUGCCCUUUAUGGAAGGAGCUUUUAAGUUUGGAAAUAUCCAAACCAAGUCUGGUGAGGAGCGUGGGCGACCUUAUGGGGAGUCUGUGCAGGGCCCGAGUCCGGGGGCCUGAUGGUGUGAGGGCGAUGCUCUCGCGGGGCUGUACCUGCCUCUGGAAAGGGAGCCCUGAAGAGGAGAACAUUCCUAGCAACGCUUCCAUUGUUGGCCUGCGUGUAUGGGGUCAUCAUGUGUCCAUGUAGGAGAGGGCUUCUCCCACACCACCCGGCGAGAUCUUCCCCAGGACAGGUCCCGGCCCACGUCCUCUGGCACCCAGGCCAGCUCUCCAGGAUGCUUGUCAAAUGAGUGAGUGGGUGAAUGACCCAGUGAGCUCCAUGGAGACCCCAUUUAGUGACUCCCUAUAUUUUUUUUAAAAAGAAACCUGUGCUCAGUUUUCAUUGCACAUAAUGAAACUAACAUUGAUCUGCUUCCAGGAGGAGCUGGGCUGGAGCCUGGAAAAGCACAGGGAGCCACUCCCAGGUAUGCACCCUGGAGAAAUGAAAACACGUGUCUGCACAAAGACCUGUACUGAGCAUUCAUAGCAGCUUUAUUUGUAAUAACUAAAAAAGUGGAAACAACUCAAAUGUCCACCAACUGAUGAACGGAUAAAUAGAUGUGAUAUAUCCACACAAUGGAAUAUUAUUCAGCCAUAAAAAGGAAUGAAGUACAGAUUCGUGCUACAACGUGAAUGAAGCUGGAAAACAUUAUGCCAAGCGAAAGAAGCCCAACACAAAAGGCCCCAGAUUGUAUGACUCCGUUUGUAUGAAGUGUCCAGAAUAGGCGAAUCUGUAGAGACAGAGAGUGGACCAGUGGUUGCCUAGGGCCGGGGGAGGGGGAGUGAGGAGUGACCACUAACGGAUAUGGGGUUUCUUUCUGGGUGUUGAGAACAUUCUGGAAUUGGAUAAUGGUGAUGCUUGUACAACUUUGUGGAUAUACUAAAAAGCACUUUAAAUGGGGGAAUGGUAUGGCGUGUGAAUUCUGUCUUAACAAAGAUGUUUUGAAAAAGCACAGGGUCCUGGGCCCCUUUUCUUCACACUAGAACCAGAUCUGUGG
ensembl:lncRNA